rnacentral:sRNA from 1 species
AGAGACGUGAACGGUCGUUGCAGAGAUUGCGGGCGGCUGAGACGCCGCCUGCCUGGCACCUAGGAGCGCAGCGGAGCCCCGACACCGCCGCCGCCAUGGAGUCCGAGACCGAACCCGAGCCCGUCACGCUCCUGGUGAAGAGCCCCAACCAGCGUCACCGCGACUUGGAGCUGAGUGGCGACCGCGGCUGGAGUGUGGGCCACCUCAAGGCCCACCUGAGCCGCGUCUACCCCGAGCGUCCGCGUCCAGAGGACCAGAGGUUAAUUUAUUCUGGGAAGCUGUUGUUGGAUCACCAAUGUCUCAGGGACUUGCUUCCAAAGCAGGAAAAACGGCAUGUUUUGCAUCUGGUGUGCAAUGUGAAGAGUCCUUCAAAAAUGCCAGAAAUCAACGCCAAGGUGGCUGAAUCCACAGAGGAGCCUGCUGGUUCUAAUCGGGGACAGUAUCCUGAGGAUUCCUCAAGUGAUGGUUUAAGGCAAAGGGAAGUUCUUCGGAACCUUUCUUCCCCUGGAUGGGAAAACAUCUCAAGGUGAGUGUUAUAAUAAAGAUCUUGGCUUAUGCAACAUGAAUGUUCCUCGUUUGCAUCAAUUUAAGAAUAAGGUAUGUUUACACGUAUAUAAUCAACUUUUAAACAUACAGAAUUUUGCUUUAUAAAUAGCUUCGCUUUAAAGAUCUCUUAUAUGUUUAACUUUUCUUAAUACACAGCCUUUUAGUACACACAAAUUUAAAAAGUAGGUAAUGCAUAUAUUGAAAAAAAAAGAAAAUGUAGGCGUUUUAUCCUUCCAUUGUGCUGACCGCUUGGUUGCCGUCACGAUAGGAAAUUAGUGCUGCUGCAGGAGAAAACAGCUGUCGUAAGCAUUGUGCAGCUGCUUUGCUGAGUGGCUUUGUGCUUUAUUGUAACAAUGGGUGACAACAAGGGAGAGACUGUUUAAGAAGUGUCCUUCCAAAGACUUGGGGGUACUAGAAAAAUUGGCCAAUUUCUUAUAACUAUUAAAGCUUUUCUUUAGAGCGAAAGUCAGAACUAAAUGCUCUGUUAUUUGGAUUUUUAUAGCUCUUGGAAUACAUUGUUUUUGGGGAAAAAUUCGUUAACUGCAAGUUGCAAUUCUGUAACUCUCCAAUUCU